rnacentral:lncRNA from 1 species
AAAUUACUGAUGAAUCUGAUCCUUCAAUCCCUUACGAGUUCAUAUAGUCAAUUUAUUAUAAAUUUUCAUAUGAACAAGCUUGAUUGCACUAUACCCGAAUUGGUCAACAUAUUGGUCACUACAGAGGGAACCUUGAAGAGUUCAAGGGGUACUAUUCUUACUGUGAAGUGAACUUCUUCCAAGAGAAAGUCUACUAGGAAGAAGAAAGCAAAAUCUGCUAAAAAGCAAAAGAGGGAGAACAAGCCAA